AAAGAGACAGCAAGGAAUGUGCUGGCAACCGAGGUUUGCUUGUUCUGUCUCUUGCUUGCCUCAAACGACCGCAAAAGCAGCAAUCAACUCAACAAUCUGGUGUCAAAGCAUCAGGAUUUAAACGAUUCAAAAUUCUUGAGAAAUGUCUCAAGGAGCAGCAACAGCAACCUCAAUAUUAACCAUGUACCAGUCUGAGCACUUCUUUGGAGAAGAAGUUGACUUCAUCAAGUGAUGAGCAAAAGCAGCUGCUACGAGGUGCAAAGACCUGUAUGACAACUUUGUGCCUGCCGCCAGUCGAGGAUCAAGUUUGUCUGGUCAUAGUUAAACACAGAGUGGACAGAGGAGAGGGGAAAUCCAAUAUAUAUUCAGUGUCGAAAUCCAGAUCAAGGUUUAGGUGAAGAAAGCCUCAAACAGGCAUUUAGUGAUUAUGGCAAAGUAGUCGAGGUAGUUGCCGAGCCAAGUAAAGGAUUUCCAUUAAUUACGUAUAACAGCAUUGAGUCGGCAGAGAAUGCGAUUAGAAAG